rnacentral:rRNA from 1 species
UACGUAGGUGGCAAGCGUUGUCCGGAAUUAUUGGGCGUAAAGCGCGCGCAGGCGGUCCUUUUAAGUCUGAUGUGAAAGCCCACGGCUCAACCGUGGAGGGUCAUUGGAAACUGGGGGGACUUGAGUGCAGGAGAGAAAAGUGGAAUUCCACGUGUAGCGGUGAAAUGACGUAGAUAUCGGGAGGAACACCGGUGGCGAAGGCGGCGACCUGGGUAGAUACUGACGCUGAGGUGCGAAAGCGUGGGGAGCAAACAGG